GAGAAACAGGUGAUACUGAACAGGAAAUGUGGGGGCGAUGUAAUGACGAUUUGCACACAACAAAUGGAGAAGGUUUUGCAUAAAGCAUGCAGUGGCUUUUUGGUACAACUUGAGUAGCAAACUAAGGGAGAGCCAAUAGAAUUUGAAGAUCCAAACCUACUUCCUUUGUUUGCUGAAUUUUCAGAUAUAUUUGACGAACCGCACAACCUACCUCUUACCCGUCGGCAUGAUCAUUAUAUAACGAUCCUUCCAAGCAAACCUCUAGCAAAUACUCGACCAUAUCAGUAUCUAUAU
rnacentral:lncRNA from 1 species